rnacentral:tRNA from 1 species
UAAGGCGGARGCUGCGGGUUCGAGCCCCGUCAGUCCCG